UGUGAACUGGGGUCUCUGCUAUGAGGAGCCCCUGAGAUGGUGCUGCUGUUGCUGCAGGGGAUCCUCAAGUAGGGAGAGGCUUCUCUGUGCAUGAAGGAGUAGAAGAUCUGGGGAAGGAGCACAAACACUGAAUUCCUAGCUGAGAAACGGGAGACCCUGACCUUGAGCGUCAGGAUCAGUGCCCACAGCCUGAGCCAGGUGUGCAGGCCUGGACUGUCUCCAACUGUCCCCCCUGCUCCACUACUUCUCCAGGAUCAGAGUGAGGCUCAGGGUCAGGAACAUCCCCAGGGCAGGGACCACAUGGACAAAGACAUCAGGGGUGUUGCCCCCAUGGACUCCAAGUCACAGAGAGAGAGAGAGAGGCGCAGAGACACAGGCAGAGGGAGA